rnacentral:rRNA from 1 species
CCCUUAGAUGUUCUGGGCCGCACACGCGCUACACUGAAGGAGGCAGCGUGUACUCCUGGAUCGAAAGAUUUGGGUAACCCGCGAAUCUCCUUCGUGCUAGGGAUUGAGGUUUGCAAUUAUCCUUCAUGAACGAGGAAUUCCCAGUAAGUGCAAGUCAUAAGCUUGCGCUGACUACGUCCCUGCCCUUUGUACACACCGCCCGUCGCUACUACCGAUUGAGUGUUCCGGUGAACUGAUUGGAUUAGCAGUUACUUUCUGGAGACAGGGGUUCUUGCCGAGAAUUUCCGUAAACCUUAGCACUUAGAGGAAGGAGAANUCGUANCA